CAGUCGCCGCGGGAAUACAGAGGGUGCAAGCGUUAAUCGGAAUUACUGGGCGUAAAGCGCGCGUAGGUGGUUUGUUAAGUUGGAUGUGAAAUCCCCGGGCUCGACCUGGGAACUGCAUUCAAAACUGACUGACUAGAGUAUGGUAGAGGGUGGUGGAAUUUCCUGUGUAGCGGUGAAAUGCGUAGAUAUAGGAAGGAACACCAGUGGCGAAGGCGACCACCUGGACUAAUACUGACACUGAGGUGCGAGAGCGUGGGGAGCAAACAGGAUUAGAGACCCCUGUAGUCCCUGUCUCUUAUAC
rnacentral:rRNA from 1 species